rnacentral:lncRNA from 1 species
CUCUUCUCUUCUCUUCUCUUGUGGGGAGCUCUCGCUUUUUCUCUCUAGUUUCCUUGUUUCUGCAAGGUCUGAUGGUUGAGCUACAAGGAUGGAUAGUCCACUUUGAAGAUAGUGGAAGAGAGAGAAAAAGACAGCCUCGGGGUAGAAAUGUAAAUAGUGGUUUUGGGGAAUAUGUGAGGAAUAGUGCUUUGUCUGUUAAGAGAGAGAGGGAGAGAGAGUGUGAAUGACUGAGAGAAAGGCUGGGCAGCUGAAGCCUGCAGUAGUUAUGGAGGGCAAAGUGAAGUUUCCCAGAAAGGGGGGGUUUGUGUGAUGAGUUAAUGAUGAUGCAUGGGAUUCUCACGGUUUGGGCAAUUGACAAGAGAUAUCAGUACGUAUGAGGAAUGGUUCCAAGCGCCGGCGACGUGUCAC